UGAGGAGAGAUUCAGCCAUGGCAGGAUGUAUGAAGUGAAUCUUUAAGCUGGUGAAGCACCUGAAUCGUGGUUGUCUUUGUCUCAGAACAAGUUCAGUACUUGCAGUGUGGCGUCAGCCCUGGAGAUACUGUGGGUGGUGCUGAGUGUCGGGGAGGUCCUGUGGACCCGCUGCGUAGAUCAGAUGGAUAAAAGCCUCCAGGCCUCUCUUCCUUGGGGAGGUGAAUCGUGGCAGGAUGAUGCCUGUUCCAACAGCAGGGUCAGACUGAGGGAGCAGGAGGCUUUCCUCAUGGCUUUCCAUGACACAGUACCCCAGCUGGUAUUUUCACUGAGACCAAAGAAGCAGAUUUGGACCCCUCGGAGUGUGACAUUGAGGGAAUUUGUC